GGCUUUUAAUUGCUAAUUAUAUUUAAAACAACAACAACAACAGAUUGACAUAAUUAUACACCGAAGUUUGACAGGGAGUUAUGUAGGAGUCAUGCUGUUGGGCGGUCGGUCGAUUGGUUGGUCGGUUGAUAGGUUUGUUUGUUUGUCCGAAUCAAAUGUUUAAAGUAUGUAAAGCGACUUCAUUUGUCAAGCUAUUGAAUCGAAACUAGGAAUAUGUAAUCCCCUUUAAAGUGAAGAUGUGCAAGACACUUUUUCAUGAGCAGUGAUCCACACGUUCUUGAGUUAUUUAGCCUUGAUAGUAAACCUAUUAUGGCAAACGUUUACAAUUUUCUCUGUUUGUGAAGUGAUCUUUUUCCAUAUUUCUCAAGCGAUAGAAUUGAAACUUGAAAUAUGGCAAUAACAUGAAGUGUAUGAUGUUCAAGACACAAUUUUGUUUGCUGUUUCAAAGUGGUGAGAGGGUAUGUUAAGUCAUGUUUGUGACAAAGCUGUAGUUUAUGUACGUAAAAUGCAUCACGUAUAACGAUCAUGAAGUUUAAACUUAAUUAGUUUUAACCCAAUUCCAAAUCAUGGAACAAUUGUUAAGAGUUUAAUGGCAGAUAUAUUGACUUUAAUUAAACAUAAAUGAAAUAAUGCAUAUUGCCACUUUUAACCUGAACGUGUUUUUAAAUAAACCUUGUAAAAUUCUACUUGCAAAUUAUCUGAUAACCUGUGUACUUAUUAUAUUAUGCUUGCAAAAACUGUGCAUAUUUGUUUUAAAUGAGACACUCCAUACAUAUAUAUCAGCACAUGUAAUUUAAUCAUGAAUAAGGCACAAUUCUAAUAUUGGGAGAUUAAUCUCCAAGUAUAAACAUGCUUGACAUUGAUGUCAAUAGAUGCUACAAAGUGGUUCAUUUCUGCAAGAUUCUACACAUCCAUGUUCUCAACAAGAUAUUGUUCCCAAACAGUCGAUACUUACAGAUAAUUCUUAUUCACUUUAACGUGAUAAGGCGCGAAUGGCGGCGUUUUUAAGUCGAGAGAGGAAAAUGUUUUAUUUACUGGAUUUAAUGCAUAUUUGUGAAUGUUAGUAUAGAGAUUUAAACGUGCUAAAUGUUCUUUUACAUGGAUACAAUGGUGCACGAUGAAAAAUUCGAACAAUAAAAAGAGAAAACAGAGGAAUAGUAGUGACAAUGGCCAAAACAAUAGCAACAAUAGUAAAGUGCAUAAACAAAGAGGCCCGUCCGGGAGUUCGAGUACAGAAUCUACUCCGGUAAGCGAUUUGCUUAAUUGGACAGAUUCGGUGCUGUAUGGAGAUCAACUGAGUGAUAGUGUGUUUGUGCCGGUGGAUGCGGCGGAUGCAAAAAUAGCGUCACAAAAAAUGGCGGACGGUGGCAAUUCCGAACCUACGAAUAGGGACCUUAUGGAGAUUAUGAAAUCUAUAAGUAAUCGACUAUUGUAGAGGACUUAGAGAUGUUUUUACAACAUAAUAUAGAGUCUGGAUUAACUAUUGACGAUGUUUUACUUAUAUUACUCCUUUUCGCCGAUGAUAUGGCCAUAUUGGGUAAAAAUCCAGAAGAAGUACAAAACCAUUUGGAUAAUCUGCUUGUGUAUUGUAAUACUUGGGGCCUUAAAGUUAACACUUCAAAAACUAAAAUUAUGGUUUUCCGUAAGAGGGGCCGCCUACGCCAAAAUGAGGCAUGGACAUACGAUGGCCAAAUCAUCGAAACAGUUGAUAACUUUAAUUAUUUAGAUCAAAACCGUCGGUGGAUACCGUAAUCCUGACAAGUUAACAAAGAUGAGAAGCUUUCUAUCAUACGUGAUAUGGAGAGUCCUCAGUUAAUCUGCACUAAUCGGAGCAAAUUAUCAGCUACAUUAGUUCGAGUGGACAGAAACCAACGCGUUUAUCUUGUAAUCUAAAAGUGCUCAGUUUAAAAAUUAUUAUAGGGCGGUUAACUGCAUUGCUUGUAAAACUUGGUUGACAAAUUAAAUUGUUGCACAAUUUUGCCCAGAUCUUCGACUGCAAUCUGAAAAAGCCAUAUAUACAUGAACGUAAUAAUCUGCAAUUCUGUCGUGUGUGUUUCUUUCCCCAUAGUAAUACUGUAUUCGAAUAGUAAAGCUUAAUGCGAGUGAACUCGUUUAUAUGCGAGGGUGAAGAUAGCUUACUUAAAGCCCUCUACUGCUUGAUAUCCCUAGCUAAAAUAAGUCGUAGCUUGCUAAUUCAAGCCGAAAUAGGUCACAGUUUGCAACUUCGAUGAUACGCGUGUCACAGUACAGAAUGCAUGCUUAAAUAUACGUAGUACGUUUGAAAAAAGAGUCUUGCUAAACUAUAAUUAGUACUUAUAAAACAAAGUGUCUUUUAUUUCAUUGAAACGAAUUUUGUUUGAAGAGAAAAAAUGUGUCUGUUCAAAAGCGCUUGGUGCGAUAUAUAUGUUUACUUAUUUUUGCGUGUGUACUAAAUCGAUUAACUCUUAAGGCUUCUAGCGCAAUCGCUUGACUAUUUCUAUCAAUGCAAUACAUUAUAGCAAAUUGUUCGUUAUUCUACCGAUUACAAUGCGUUUUUUUUUCAGUAACGUGUUCAUCUAAAUCAUUUUUUUUCCAAGUGUGUUUGGAAUUGGAUUAAAGGUACAUCCAAAAGUGUGCUUCUGCUCGUUGGCGCUGUUCGGCAAAUGUUGCUGUAAUUUCACCCGACUUAUAUUUUAAGUUGUGUCCAAAUACAUCAUUGCUUGAAAUUAAUUCCUGAGUCAGACAAAAAAAAAUGUGAAAAAAGUCAUAAAACUUAUCCUCGGCGGUAAAACAAUUUGGCCGCCUGUGAGAAGUUUGUUUGAAAAGAUCUCCAAAAACAAGGAUAUUAUCAUAAAGUGUGGGAACUCUUAACUCUGCACAAAUGUAAAGACAAUUAUCCCCAUCAAGUGAUUUCUACUGAUAGCAUGUUCUGAUUUCUUCCUCAAGCUGUUUGUUUUCACUGCUGAUGUGUGCACAAUGAUUGACAAAAAAGUUAUAUGAUGAGCUGCAAAAACUGAACAGUAAAUUUUAAUUUCUUGCUUACUUUAAAGUAGUAUGUCUAUAUUAAAUUCAUGGCUGUUUAUGUUUAUGAUUGGUAUUGGAUUUGUUGUCAAUCAUCUAAAAUGUAUAAUACAAAUGCAAAAUAGUCAGUUUGAUAACACCACAUUUAAACAUCUG